rnacentral:rRNA from 1 species
GAUGAACGCUGGCGGCGUGCCUAAUACAUGCAAGUCGAGCGAACAGACGAGGAGCUUGCUCCUCUGACGUUAGCGGCGGACGGAUGAGUAACACGUGGAUAACCUACCUAUAAGUCUUGGAUAACUUCGGGAAACCGGAGCUACUACCGGAUAAUAUAUUGAACCGCAUGGUUCAAUAGUGAUAGACAGUUUUUCUGUCACUUAUAGAUGAAUCCGCGCCGCAUUAGCUAGGUGGUAAGGUAACGGCUUACCAAGGCUACGAUGCGUAGCCGACCUGAGAGGGUGAUCGGCCACACUGGAACUGAGACACGGUCCAGACUCCUACGGGAGGCAGCAGUAGGGAAUCUUCCGCAAUGGGCGAAAGCCUGACGGAGCAACGCCGCGUGAGUGAUGAAGGUCUUCGGAUCGUAAAACUCUGUUAUUAGGGAAGAACAAAUGUGUAAGUAACUAUGCACGUCUUGACGGUACCUAAUCAGAAAGCCACGGCUAACUACGUG